rnacentral:tRNA from 1 species
GAUUGUUUAGUUUAAAUAAAACAGAUGUUUUGAAAACAUCAAAUAAGAACAUUAUUCUUAACAAUUG